AAAAGAUCAGUCUUUAUUAUUAAUGGUGCACUACAGGUAAUGUCUGCUCAAUUUCUGUGAAGAGUUGUGCUUGCUGUCCUUCUCACUUGAAAAACAAUGCCACUGUGACUGAGAGCCAAGCUUGUGAAGCUUCUCACAGGCAUCUAAAGCUCCUUUUGGAAGCCCUGGCCACUUCCCAGGACAGGAUGCUAGACUAGAUUGAGAGACAGCCUAAUGCAUUCAAACAAUACCUAGAGUGCAGCAGAGUACCAUCUGGCUGUUUGGGGAUACAGGGUUUGCUACUUGUGACUGCAGAGGAUCAACAUUGCUCCAAGAAAAGCAGUUUCAGGAGCUGACUGCAAAAGCCCGGCCUGGAGUAAGUCAACAUGUUGCCAUUGGUACAACAUUAAUUUGUGCCAACUGUCAAACAGACUCUCCUGUGCACAAGACUGUGCAUGUACCAGCUGUAAACCCAAACCUUUCCAUUGGAUUUCCUGUCCCUUCUCAGAGAACAAAUGUUCCAACUAAGCUACAGCAGCAUUCAUACUACUUUACUGAGGCGUUUUGUUUACAAGGAACCCAGUUUUCUGCACUUGGCCCCAGAUGUGUUUAUUCCCUUUUAAUGAAGCCAGCGCCUGAGGAUUCCAGAAGCUAGAAAUGUAACUUCCCGGCACUUUGGCAUGUUUAAAAGUCACACCACUCAGAUUUAAUACUGGUGGAUGGUAAAGAGAUCAAAUUUUCUGGUCCUAACUCAUCACAUCAGGUUAAUACAACUCUCACUGUUGCUGAAUUUACAUUAGCUCUUUAUUAUGGGUGUGGGGUGUGAUAGCUGAGGAGAGUUUGAGGACAACAGUUUGUUUAUCAAGACAGCAAAUAAAGAAAUACAUGUUUUAAACU
rnacentral:lncRNA from 7 species